UACGAGGAGGUGACAGCUGUUACGUGAAUACUGGGCGUAAAGGCGCGCGUGAGGUUGGUUUAGUUAGUGAUGUGAAAUCCCCGGGCUCAACCUGGGAACUGCAUCCAAAACUGGCAAGCUAGAGUAUGGUAGAGGGUGGUGGAAUUUCCUGUGUAGCGGUGAAAUGCGUAGAUAUAGGAAGGAACACCAGUGGCGAAGGCGACCACCUGGACUGAUACUGACACUGAGGUGCGAAAGCGUGGGGAGCAAACAGG
rnacentral:rRNA from 1 species